rnacentral:misc_RNA from 1 species
GUGAAUCAUCAAAUUUUUGAACGCAAAUUGCACUCUCUGGUAUUCCGGAGAGUAUGCCUGUUUGAGGGUCAGUUACAAUAAAAAUCGGUGUGGUUGCUGACUUUCGUGGUGACGCACCGGAUUUGGGUCGUCUUGCCUUCGGUUAAGCGACCUAAAGUUUUGCAUGAUUUUUUUCGCACGUAUUAAAAUGCGUUUCUGUACGUUUGAGAUAACG